rnacentral:rRNA from 1 species
UACGAAGGGGGCUAGCGUUGUUCGGAAUUACUGGGCGUAAAGGGCGCGCAGGCGGUUCCUCAAGUCAGGCGUGAAAUCCCCAGGCUCAACCUGGGAACUGCAUUUGAAACUCCCUUUCUUGAGUACCGGAGAGGAAAGUGGAAUUCCUGGUGUAGAGGUGAAAUUCGUAGAUAUCAGGAGGAACACCAGUGGCGAAGGCGGCUUUCUGGACGGUAACUGACGCUGAGACGCGAAAGCGUGGGGAGCAAACAGG